rnacentral:rRNA from 1 species
CCCUUAGAUGUUCUGGGCCGCACGCGCGCUACACUGACAGAGCCAACGAGUUCUUUGCCUUGGCCGGAAGGUCUGGGUAAUCUUGUUAAACUCUGUCGUGCUGGGGAUAGAGCAUUGCAAUUAUUGCUCUUCAACGGGGAAUGCCUAGUAAGCGCGUGUCAUCAGCAUGCGUUGAUUACGUCCCUGCCCUUUGUACACACCGCCCGUCGCUACUACCGAUUGAAUGGCUCAGUGAGGCCUUCGGACUGGCUCGGGGAGGUUGGCAACGACCACCCCAAGCCGGAAAGUUCGUCAAACUCGGUCAUUUAGAGGAAGUAAAAGUCGUAACA